CCCUGGCUUAACCCAUUCCCCGCGGGUCUGGCGGCAGCCAGCGAAACGCUGGGAACCGAGAGGGCGAGACGGCACGUGGACAGGCGAGUGGGGGGAGCCUGAGAAGAGGGAGGAGAAAAGAGAAGGAAGGGCAAAGGCACCAGAGGAGGAGCACGCAGAGUACAGACCGAAGCAGGGCCGGACCUCAUUUGCUUAAUGCAAUGCGGCUGAACUCUCGCUGAACUCGCCUGGCGGCGCCUCACCUCCGAGUGACCCACCCACCGCUGCCCGUGACAUCACCCGCUCGCCAGCCUGCCCGCGGGGCUCGCCCGCCGGCCCCUAGCCUGACUCGGCCGGGCCAGCUCUGGCAGAGACGCCAAGAGCGGCCGCAGAAAGACUAGGGCUGGGGCGCGUGUGGCCAAGCGUCAGCGCCACGAACGCGGCGUGCCGGGUGUCCUGGGUGUGACAUUGUGCAGCUUGAGCUGUGUCGGAUUGAGACACCCGGCUUGUGUCAUUGUCUGUGACAUCAUGUGUGACUCGGGCGGCCGGAACCCGACGCGGCAGCGCUGGUGCUGUUGGCACAAACACAGCAGACGGGGCUCUCCUCCCCACGCUCAGCGUGCUUCCGGUGAGCAAAGCCCCGCCCAGGGUGUCUCCCAGCCGAGGAACCAGGAUCGGCCCCUGCUGCGCGGUCCAGCCCAGGAGAGAUCAAAGGAGGGUCUGGUGCCUCCCAGCUGACCACUUCAUCCCGGAAGCCCUGGGGAUACCUGUUUCAUUGGAAGAAAGGCCUAGCUUGGGUAGGUCCCUAGAAAGAGGGGAUACCCCCAGGAAGGGUAUCCUACCCUGCUCUCUAAAAGGAAGGAAUGGAAAUUUACAUGCUACCCAAGGAUAUUCUUCUAGAAGCCAGGUUCUUUACAUACGUUGUCAUUUAAUUCUACAGCAACUCCAAGAGAUAAGUUUUACGAAUAAACAAAAUGAGGUCUCAGCAAGGCUA